rnacentral:rRNA from 1 species
GACGUAGGGCGCGAGCGUUGUCCGGAUUUAUUGGGCGUAAAGAGCUCGUAGGCGGCUUGUCGCGUCGUUCGUGAAAACCUGCAGCUCUACUGCAGGCUUGCGGUCGAUACGGGCAGGCUAGAGUUCGGUAGGGGAGACUGGAAUUCCUGGUGUAGCGGUGAAAUGCGCAGAUAUCAGGAGGAACACCGGUGGCGAAGGCGGGUCUCUGGGCCGAUAUUGACGCUGAGGAGCGAAAGCGUGGGGAGCGAACAGG